GUAAUCGCGAAUCAGAAUGUCGCGGUGAAUACGUUCCCGGGUCUUGUACACACCGCCCGUCACACCAUGGGAGUCGGGAAUGCCCGAAGUCAGUGACCCAACCAUAUGGAGGGAGCUGCCGAAGGCAGGUCUGAUAACUGGGGUNAAGUCGUAACAAGGUAUC
rnacentral:rRNA from 1 species